rnacentral:lncRNA from 1 species
GCCUGGGCUCUGGAGCAGACACUUACUACAGCGCUGUACAUUAAGGAGAUGGCUAGCUAGCCUCCUGUGAGCUUUUUUUUUGUUUGUUUUUUUCUGACGUUGAUGUACAUUUGGUUUCUUUUUUGAAAGUCCUGCAGUGAGAGGUAAAGGCUCGGUAAGGUGCGGAGCUCAGGGCCAGGAGCUGGAUCUCCUCGCAGCACCGUUGCUACAUUGCUGGCUGAUUUUAGCUCACUUGCAUUUCACAAAGGAGGCUUGGUCGUGGCUGCAGUGAUGAGCGUGGCAGGGUCAAAUCCAUGGGACAUCUGGGGCUGGCUCUUCAUGGCAAUGAUAGGUUUGCCAAGCUCUGUUUCAAGCACAAAUUGCUCUGGCUGCGAUUCCCCAACUCAGCACUGACCUUCCAGCUGUUCCCUCCCUUCCUGCUCGGAUGGAGAGAGGAAACUACUGUCAAGGCACCUUGGACUUCCUACAGCCCUGCUGGCUCGUGAAGGAGUAAUAAAGAUGGAGAGGACACUUUUGCUGCUGCA